rnacentral:lncRNA from 1 species
CAAAAGUUUCAAGUUUGCAUAUCUUUUCAGAAAGACCAUGUGGAAGUAUUCCAGCAGUGGCCAAUGCUGCUUUUGAAGGCAGGAGCAAGGAGAAGUAUGAGCCUGGUGAAACAAUUCGCUACCAGUGUCAUGAAGGAUUUCAGGUCACUGGUCUCCCUGAAAUUUUUUGCAGAAGGGGAACUUGGUCAACACCACCAAUCUGUGAAGAUGUUAGCUGUGGACCCCCACCUGAAAUUCUCAAUGCUCAUAUUACCAGCACUCAGCAGCAGAGGUAUCUGCCUGGUGCCAAAGUGCAUUAUGAAUGUGAAAGUAAUUCACAAAUUAUGGGUGUAAAUUAUGUCACUUCUUCAGAUGGACACUGGACAAAAGUGCCAAGUUGCAGAGGUAGGAAUUUGUGCCUUCAUUAUGGCUGUUCGCUUCGUGGGGACUGUUUGGAUUACCUUAAUACUAGAAAGACAUUACCUUUUUUAGUUUUGUUUUCUUUGGGUAAUGCAGCUUUGUACCUACUACUGCUUUCUUGCACAGAACUUUAAUUUAGCUUAAUACUUCUAGAAAUACUAUGGGUAUAUUCAUCAAGAGCAAAAAUAUCUUGAAGAAAAAAGGCCUAGAGUAUGCUGACUUGCUAUUCUUCUCUGCGAUACAAGUAAUUUCCAGAUUACACCAUUUUACUGACCUUCACUAGAAAGAUGUGUAAGGGCUCCUCUGUUGUGUUCAGCGCUGUCAGAGAGUUUCGGAAUGGCAGAAGCAGUAGUGGAGAGAAACAGGAGCUCUUCUCUGAGGCUCCACUAUGACAGAGAUCCCAGCAGAGCCUCAGGAACUAAAACAUGCAGAUCGGCUGGGUUCUGCAAUGGCAAGAAGGUUCCUCUGAAGAGGAGCUGUGCCGUCUUCCUAGUCCCUGCUCAAAUCUGUGGCUGGGGGCUGAACAAGUGCAACGUGGCAGUCAUACACCUCCAUGGAGUCAACUUUACUUACCUGACCCAUGAGUAGUACAGGCUGAUAAUGUCUUCCAGAGCUCUGCAGUUCAGCAGAGAGCCAGCUUGGCUGCUACAUCUGUGAUUCUGAGAAGUGCUCAGGUUCUCAGCAGAGGGCCAUGGCCUUGCAAGGAGGCUUUUUCUGGCAUGUGGUGUAGCUACAGAAAUGUUGGCUUUUUCUAGAAGCUCUCACUGUCGCUGUCAUAUCCUGAGAAUCUGGAAGGUGUUCUGCUGCCAUUGUGAUAUUAAUUUACAUUCCUGGAGCUCACAGUGCCAUAGAAAGCCAAGGAAAAAGGGGAGGGGGAGGGGGAAAUCAAGUCAUGUUGGUAAGGCAAUAUUGUCUCUGGUGCUUAAGAACAUCA